rnacentral:rRNA from 1 species
AGGGGAGUGAAAAAGAACCUGAAACCGUGUACGUACAAGCAGUGGGAGCACGCUUAGGCGUGUGACUGCGUACCUUUUGUAUAAUGGGUCAGCGACUUAUAUUCUGUAGCAAGGUUAACCGAAUAGGGGAGCCGAAGGGAAACCGAGUCUUAACUGGGCGUUAAGUUGCAGGGUAUAGACCCGAAACCCGGUGAUCUAGCCAUGGGCAGGUUGAAGGUUGGGUAACACUAACUGGAGGACCGAACCGACUAAUGUUGAAAAAUUAGCGGAUGACUUGUGGCUGGGGGUGAAAGGCCAAUCAAACCGGGAGAUAGCUGGUUCUCCCCGAAAGCUAUUUAGGUAGCGCCUCGUGAAUUCAUCUCCGGGGGUAGAGCACUGUUUCGGCAAGGGGGUCAUCCCGACUUACCAACCCGAUGCAAACUGCGAAUACCGGAGAAUGUUAUCACGGGAGACACACGGCGGGUGCUAACGUCCGUCGUGAAGAGGGAAACAACCCAGACCGCCAGCUAAGGUCCCAAAGUCAUGGUUAAGUGGGAAACGAUGUGGGAAGGCCCAGACAGCCAGGAUGUUGGCUUAGAAGCAGCCAUCAUUUAAAGAAAGCGUAAUAGCUCACUGGUCGAGUCGGCCUGCGCGGAAGAUGUAACGGGGCUAAACCAUGCACCGAAGCUGCGGCAGCGACGCUGAUGCGUUGUUGGGUAGGGGAGCGUUCUGUAAGCCUGCGAAGGUGUGCUGUGAGGCAUGCUGGAGGUAUCAGAAGUGCGAAUGCUGACAUAAGUAACGAUAAAGCGGGUGAAAAGCCCGCUCGCCGGAAGACCAAGGGUUCCUGUCCAACGUUAAUCGGGGCAGGGUGAGUCGACCCCUAAGGCGAGGCCGAAAGGCGUAGUCGAUGGGAAACAGGUUAAUAUUCCUGUACUUGGUGUUACUGCGAAGGGGGGACGGAGAAGGCUAUGUUGGCCGGGCGACGGUUGUCCCGGUUUAAGCGUGUAGGCUGGUUUUCCAGGCAA